CCUACGUGAGGCAGCAGUAGGGAAUCUUCCACAAUGGGCGAAAGCCUGAUGGAGCAACGCCGCGUGGGUGAAGAAGGUCUUCGGAUCGUAAAACCCUGUUGUUAGAGAAGAAAGUGCGUGAGAGUAACUGUUCACGUUUCGACGGUAUCUAACCAGAAAGCCACGGCUAACUACGUGCCAGCAGCCGCGGUAAUACGUAGGUGGCAAGCGUUAUCCGGAUUUAUUGGGCGUAAAGGGAACGCAGGCGGUCUUUUAAGUAUGAUGUGAAAGCCUUCGGCUUAACCGGAGUAGUGCAUUGGAAACUGGGAGACUUGAGUGCAGAAGAGGAGAGUGGAACUCCAUGUGUAGCGGUGAAAUGCGUAGAUAUAUGGAAGAACACCAGUGGCGAAAGCGGCUCUCUGGUCUGUAACUGACGCUGAGGUUCGAAAGCGUGGGUAGCAAACAGGAUUAGAUACCCCAGUAGUC
rnacentral:rRNA from 1 species